rnacentral:rRNA from 1 species
UACAGAGGCCUCGAGCGUUAGGCGGAAUCACUGGGCUUAAAGCGUGUGUAGGCGGACUUCUAAGUACCUUGUGAAAUCCCACGGCUCACCCGUGGAACUGCUCGGUAUACUGGUCGUCUUGAGCCUUCUAGGGGCUACCGGAACAAAUGGUGGAGCGGUGAAAUGCGUAGAUAUCAUUUGGAACGCCAAUGGUGAAAACAGGUAGCUGGGGAAGUGCUGACGCUGAGACGCGAAAGCCAGGGGAGCGAACGGG